rnacentral:rRNA from 1 species
UACAGAGGUCCCGAGCGUUGUUCGGAUUCACUGGGCGUAAAGGGUGCGUAGGUGGUGAGGUAAGUCGGAUGUGAAAUCUCCGGGCUCAACCCGGAAAUGGCAUUGGAAACUACCUUGCUGGAGGAUUUGAGGGGGGGAUUGGAAUACUUGGUGUAGCAGUGAAAUGCGUAGAUAUCAAGUGGAACAGCCAGUGGCGAAGGCGAAUCCCUGGAAAAUACCUGACACUGAGGCACGAAAGCUAGGGGAGCAAACAGGAGUUAG